UAAUUGCUGAACUUGCAUUACCUUAUCUAACUCGUAUAUCCCAUAACAGACCAAUUUUCAUGACAGAGAGAGAGGACGUGUAAAGCCUGUGCCACCAAAGGCUGACCGGCCACCUGACUGAACGCUGCUGCCUUGUGCUCGCUGUGACUCACUCUCAGACUGGCAGCUGAAAUUAAAGGCCACUUUGCAACCAGUAUACAUCAUUGCUAGAGAGGUCUCUUGAUGACAGAUUCAUAAAAUUACUAUGAUCAAAUUAGAAAAAGCUUCCCUGGGUGGACUGAAGACAGCUUCCCACAGAGAGAUGACGCACAUUUCCUGGUGACUAUGCAGGAAAAGAUUAGGAAGUUGAAGAGUCUUCUCUGGCUUUCAGUCUAUCGAGAGAAGGUAUUUGAUGCUUUUAUGGGAAGACGUUUCAGGAAGGAGGACAACUGAGGGGCAUGUGCAAUCACCUCCUGUACUAAAACAACAACAUCCCUUGCAAGAAUUAUGUCUGAUUUAUUUAUCCCAGUGAUGCCCUACCUACUGGAUUACUUAUUUAAAAAAAAAACUAAACUCCUGGACACACAUAGACUAUCAGUUCAUCUUGUAGGUACAUAUUACUGUAAGUCUCAUUAUGUGGGGAUCAGGUUGUUCUUUGCAUAACCUGAUUUGGUGUAAAUUACGGUUAAUUUGACAGCGCACAGUUGUAAGAGAACAGUGAAUGAGGUGUACUGUACCAAACAGUGACGAGUUUUAGGAUUACACAUCAUUGCUACUGAUUCAGUCGAGCUUGAUGACAGCUGUAGCAGGGCGGCCCAAGAUGUAAACAAGAGGAUCGCCUGCACUGUUUCCUCUAUUCAGUUUGCAAUGCUUAUCAAUUUCCUGUGCUGCAUUAUCUGAUUUAUCCUUAUUGGGAUCUAUUGCACUGGUACAGUAGUCUGACACUGUGAAAUGAACCAGCAAAGAGCAGCUCAACAAGCCAAAGCUCAUUAAUGCACUGCGCAGUGGGACUACUGCAGAUAAAAGGAUGGAGAGGUGAAGAGAAUGAAUGGAUUGGUGGGUGGAUGAAUUGGGUCAUUGGUAGCUGGGUAGAUGGAUAGAUAAGUAGCUAGUAAAUAGAUUUAUGUUGCUAAAUAUGGUUCAGUAGCUAAAUGAAU